AUCCAGCUGACUCGUACCAAAUAGGACGAAACGCGCGUCCUGGAU
rnacentral:hammerhead_ribozyme from 1 species